rnacentral:lncRNA from 1 species
CUGUAUUUUGGUACCUCUUACCUGCCCUCUCGCUCCCAUCUUCUGCCAGCUGUUCCGAUCCUCGGCUGACCAUGACCCUACGUAUUUACUAAUUAUUUUUACAGAGUCUUAAAGAAUAAGGCCCUCACCUGACAGACUAGAGUCACCUGCUCUCUGGCACUUUCCCUCUCUCUUGCUGCUUGCAGAUGGUAUGGCCGAGAAGCGAGUGGGUCACUCCGAGCACACCCACACCGGAUUGCUGGGGAUGUCAGGGGAUUCUGGUGGCUUCUACUGGGCACUGCUUUCUUCUUUCUGCACUGUAUAAUCGACAGCACAAUGACCCUCGGAUGGGGCCUGCUCUGCCUCAUGGCUGAGCCAUAGGAUGAGUAUCACGGGUCUGAAGAGAAGUGUCUUGAGCUUUCAGGUUCCUGCUGUGUCCGGGCUCAUCUGCCACUCUUCAAGGUUGCUGGACAGGAAAUGGAUACACAAUCAAGUCACUCAUCUAGGACUUCCAAGGCCCUUGCUUAAACCAAGGCUUCAAAAUUGGGCUUGAAGACUCCAUUGGCUGAAGAAAUCGAGAAGCUCAACACUCUAGGAAGCUUCAAGGGCCUUUUGAUCAGCUCCCUGGCUCUGUUUCUUGGAGACAAUUUUGGCCCUUCCUCUUCUGUUGGUUGCAACAUCAUCAGUUUGGUAUCUCUGAGUAGAAAGUGGCUGCAGUAGCUCCAGGCUUUUCAUGUUCCAGCCACACCUAAUAUUCAAGACUGAAACUGGAUAAGUGGAAUGGGAUAUUUGAAGGAAAUCAAUAAUGUACAUUGUAGAAGCAAUGUAUUUUAUUCUAAGAUAUAAAUAAGAUAUUCUAUUGCAGAUGUGUUGUUUUUCUAUUUUUCUACUUUAAUAAAG